rnacentral:rRNA from 1 species
GCUCGUGUCGUGAGAUGUUGGGUUAAGUCCCGCAACGAGCGCAACCCUCGACCUUAGUUGCCAGCAUUCAGUUGGGCACUCUAAGGUGACUGCCGGCUAAAAGUCGGAGGAAGGUGGGGAUGACGUCAAAUCAUCAUGCCCCUUAUGACCUGGGCUACACACGUGCUACAAUGGGCGGUACAAAGGGUCGCGAACCCGCGAGGGGGGAGCCCAAUCCCAAAAAGCCGCUCUCAGUUCGGAUUGCAGGCUGCAACUCGCCUGCAUGAAGCCGGAAUCGCUAGUAAUCGCGGAUCAGCCAUGCCGCGGUGAAUACGUUCCCGGGCCUU